GGUCCCGUAGUACAAUGGAUAGUAUAAGAGUUUCCGAAGCUCCAGAUUCAAGUUCGAUUCUUGACGGGACUA
rnacentral:tRNA from 1 species